rnacentral:rRNA from 1 species
GCNCGUUACGAAUUCGCCCUUAGAGUUUGAUCAUGGCUCAGGAUGAACGCUAGCGACAGGCCUAACACAUGCAAGUCGAGGGGCAUCGGGACGUAGCAAUACGUUGCCGGCGACCGGCGGAUGGGUGAGUAACGCGUAUGCAACCUACCCGUAGCAGGGGGAUAGCCCGUUGAAAGACGGAUUAAUACCCCGUAACACAGGGGCUCCGCAUGGAGAUUAUUGUUAAAGGGUCAUUUCUUUUUCAGGGAUGGUCCGGCUGCGGAUGGGCAUGCGUUCCAUUAGGUAGUUGGUGUAGGUAACGGCUCACCAAGCCGACGAUGGAUAGGGGAACUGAGAGGUUGGUCCCCCACACUGGUACUGAGACACGGACCAGACUCCUACGGGAGGCAGCAGUGAGGAAUCUUGGUCAAUGGACGCAAGUCUGAACCAGCCAUGUCGCGUGAAGGAGGACGGCCCUAAGGGUUGUAAACUUCUUUUGCAGUGGAAUAAAGUUUGCCACGUGUUGGCGAUUUGCAAGUACGCUGCGAAUAAGGAUCGGCUAACUCCGUGCCAGCAGCCGCGGUAAUACGGAGGAUCCGGGCGUUAUCCGGAUUUAUUGGGUUUAAAGGGUGCGCAGGCGGGGAAUUAGGUCGGCGGUGAAAUUUCGGGGCUCAACCUCGACAGUGCCGUUGAAACCGUUUCUCUUGAGUGCGGAUGAGGUAGGCGGAAUUUGUGGUGUAGCGGUGAAAUGCGUAGAUAUCACAAGGAACACCGAUUGCGGAGGCAGCUUACUAAACCGUUACUGACGCUCAUGCACGAAGGCGUGGGGAUCAAACAGGAUUAGAUACCCUGGUAGUCCACGCAGUAAACG